GACGAACGCUGGCGGCGUGCUUAACACAUGCAAGUCGAACGGAAAGGCCCUGCUUUUGUGGGGUGCUCGAGUGGCGAACGGUUGAGUAACACGUGAGUAACCUGCCCUUGACUUUGGGAUAACUUCAGGAAACUGGGGCUAAUACCGGAUAGUAGCUCCUGCUGCAUGGUGGGGGUUGGAAAGUUUCGGCGGUUGGGGAUGGACUCGCGGCUUAUCAGCUUGUUGGUGGGGUAGUGGCUUACCAAGGCUUUGACGGGUAGCCGGCCUGAGAGGGUGACCGGCCAAAUUGGGACUGAGAUACGGCCCAGACUCCUACGGGAGGCAGCAGUGGGGAAUAUUGCACAAUGGGCGGAAGCCUGAUGCAGGAACGACGCGUGAGGGAUGACGGCCUUCGGGUUGUAAACCGCUUUCGCCUGUGACGAAGAGUGAGAGACGGUAAUGGGUAAAGAAGCACCGGCUAACUACGUG
rnacentral:rRNA from 1 species